UCUCUCACGCGCACACCGUCAAACCCUCUCUCACGCACACAAUCAAACCCUCUCACGCACACAGUUACACUCGCGCACACCGUCAAACCCUCUCUCACGCACACAAUCAAACCCUCUCACGCACACAGUUACACUUGUUCACACCGUCAAACCCUCUCUCACGCGCACACCGUCAAACCCUCUCUCAUGCGCACACCGUCAAACCCUCUCUCACGCGCACACCGUCAAACCCUCUCUCACGCGCACAGUUACACUCGCUCACACUGUCAAACCCUCUCACACACACACCGUCAAACCCUCUCUCACGCGCACAGUUACACUCGCUCACACUGUCAAACCCUCUCACACACACACCGUCAAACCCUCUCUCACGCGCACAGUCAAACCCUCUCUCACGCACACAAUCAAACCCUCUCACGCACACAGUUACACUUGUUCACACUGUCAAACCCUCUCUCACGCGCACACUGUCAAACCCUCUCUCAUGCGCACACCGUCAAACCCUCUCUCACGCGCACACCGUCAAACCCUCUCUCACGCACACAGUUACACUCGCUCACACUGUCAAACCCUCUCACACACACACCGUCAAACCCUCUCUCACGCGCACAGUUACACUCGCUCACACUGUCAAACCCUCUCACACACACACCGUCAAACCCUCUCUCACGCGCACAGUCAAACCCUCUCUCACGCACACAGUUACACUCGCUCACACUGUCAAACCCUCUCACACACACACCGUCAAACCCUCUCUCACGCUCACACCGUCAAACCCUCUCUCACGCUCACACCGUCAAACCCUCUCUCACGCGCACACUGUCAAACCCUCUCACGCACAGUUACACUCGCUCACACUGUCAAACCCUCUCACACACACACCGUCAAACCCUCUCUCACGCGCACAGUCAAACCCUCUCUCACGCACACAGUUACACUCGCUCACACUGUCAAACCCUCUCACACACACACCGUCAAACCCUCUCUCACGCUCACACCGUCAAACCCUCUCUCACGCUCACACCGUCAAACCCUCUCUCACGCGCACACUGUCAAACCCUCUCACGCACAGUUACACUCGUUCACACUGUCAAACCCUCUCUCACGCACACCGUCAAACCCUCUCUCACGCGCACAGUCAAACCCUCUCUCACGCGCACAGUCAAACCCUCUCUCACGCACACAGUUACACUCGCUCACACUGUCAAACCCUCUCACACACACACCGUCAAACCCUCUCUCACGCUCACACCGUCAAACCCUCUCUCACGCGCACACUGUCAAACCCUCUCUCACGCGCACACUGUCAAACCCUCUCACGCACAGUUACACUCGUUCACACUGUCAAACCCUCUCACGCACACCGUCAAACCCUCUC
ensembl:lncRNA